GUCUCCCCCAAAAUUUUAAUUUUCCACCUUUUUUUUCUCACACUUAAACUUUUUGUUUAACCUAGCAGAAGUGAUAAGCUCAUACAUACACUUCACCACAUCUCUACUUUUAACCCUAGCUAGAAGCCGUCGCACCCAGCGGCACUGUUCAUCACUGCCGAUUGCGAUAACCGUCGCACCACCCAGCUCGCCUUCGUCUAACCCUCACACCCAGCCCUCUUUGUGUCGCACCCUAGUUGUUUCUCAACGGUCUCUCACACCAUCAACGCUGCUCCGUCACACACCUAGGAAUCGGCUCUGCUCCGUCCACGCACCCUCGUUAGAUUCGGAACCUCCAUCGGCGAGGAGAAGAGGAAGAGGAAAACCUUAGAGGAGAAGCCCUCCGCCGAUUCCGCAAUCGAAGCUUCGGAGAAGAAGAGGAAGUACCACGAGUCAAUUGAAGAGGAGAAACAAGACUCACACCCUCUGUGUGAGGUGCGGCCACCGCAGCUUUCACCUCCAGAAGAGUCGCUGCUCCGCCUGCGCUUCCCCCACUGCACGCAAGAUGAAAUUACGAGAAGGUUGAGAAGAUUGGGGAAGGAACCUACGGCGUCGUUUACAAGGCUCCCGACCGCGUUACCAACGAGACCAUCGCUCUCAGGAAGAUUCGCCUUGAGCAGGAGGAUGAAGGCGUUCCUAGCACGCAUUUCGCGAGAUUCUCUCCUCAUGGAAACGCAGCACAGGAAUAUUGUUAGAUUGUGUUCAACUUUUCGGGUUACACUGAAACACUUGACCAGAAAUCUGAUAUUGUGGUCCUUGAAGAUGAUCAUGGCCUCUAUGCAAUUGAUAUUCUAGACCCAUCCUUGCUUACGAAAUGUAUACAUUUGACCGAGGUGUAUCAUUUCCAUGAUAUGAUUGACAUGCUUGUUGGGUGUGGCUACAAGAAAGGAACCACAUUGCUUGGUUAUGGUUAUGACUUCAGGCAAAGCAAUAGAAUUGACAAGCUGAUGGAUGGCCUUAAAGCCAAGUUGUAAACUGCUUGCAAAGCCACUGGUGGAAGGAAAGUUAACUUGUUACUUUUCUUUGUUGAUGUUAUUUCUGGCUUGAAUGUAGCUCUAAUUAAUUUUUAUGAAUCUGUAUUUGUUUAAUUGCAUAGUUUCUCAGUGCUAGGAGUAUUAAUGCAUUUCGUUAGUGCUCACUGUUGGCUAAAACAAUGCUGCAGGUGUAAUAUGACCUUGUAUUACCUGUGAUGAAUAUGUGUUUUCUUUCUUUCCUUUUAACCAAUAAUCAUUGAUCACAUACACACUACUUUUGCUGUAUGUUGCCACAAGACUACGAGAGCAUAGGUUUUGUCUUCUCCUCAUAAAUUUGGAAAGAAAUGACUAUAAGCUUUUUCGACUCCUUGUGUGCCUUUCUCUUGAUUUAAGUUUAUUAUGCUGAGUUUUGGUUGUUUAAAUAAUAUUGUUGAAGUAAAAUAGACCUAGAAGAAAGUCACAUUGAAUAAUCACGGUUGGGCAUUUCAUAAAUUACAUUUGAGCCUUGAGAAGGUGUGAAUAAGAUGUUGAGUCGAAUGCAUUAUUUAUACCUAACAUGCAUUAUUUAGGAUAUAAUUUUUUUCAUGAUUAAUUAUAACAUGUGAUUAACUCCGAUUUCUGUACUUUAUUAUAUUCAUGCACCCUUUUUGGCUCUGAACUUAUUCUUGCCGCCUAAAGAAUCUUAUUUUGGUUUAUAGAAGUAAUGUUUGACAUUUAAUGCUUCAUAUAUAGACAAAAUGGAUUUUGAUGAAAAAGAGAAAGAAAAUUCAAUUCACCUAAGGGAUAGAUAUGGUUUGGUUAGGUUUUGUGUACUAAAUUAUAGGUACAAGGGGGAAGGUCCUGGUUCUCUGGAUCUGAAAGGUGAUAGAAAAGAGCAAAUAAUAUGAAAUGCCAAUAGGCACUGAGGCAGAGAAUAAAAAAUGCCAAUAGCAAUGCAGAUUGCUAGGUAUUCAAGUUUCUUUUCAGCUUCAAAUUAUGCCUCGUUCAGGUUUUUCGAAGUUGAUUGUGAUUUCUUUCUUUUGUAUUCUCUCCAGGGAGUUCCAUUACAAAUAAAUCACAAAACUCCUCCGCAACCAGCUGCUCGCCUCUGUCUCGUGGUUCUGCUCGCCUCUGUCUCGAGGUUCUGCUCGCCGUGCUGCUCGAAGGUGGAUGAAACUUCUUAAUCUGUUCUUCUUAGAUUCAUAUCUUCAAAGGAGUUUGUGCAAAGGAGUUGAUGAUUGACCAGCCUUGAAGUUUGGUAAAUGUGGUGAUUCAUAUCUUCAAAAUUUGCUUCAGGAUGAUGAGAGCCACAAUCACACACAGAGUUUUAAAGCAAAUGGUAGCAAGAGUUUUUCCCACAUCAACUUUUUGUUAAUCAUAGUUCUGAUGUAUAUCACUUUUUGGUUUUUCAUCCUUCAUAUCUUUGGGAAUAUUACAGUUUUAAUUUAAAUUAUUAUUAUAGCAUGUACAUAAUUCAUGUAAAUCAAUAAAAAAUCAAUUCUUAUGCAUUC